UAGAGUCUUUCAGCAAAAACCCAAACCUGAGAAUUUUUGUUGCUCUGCGGCUCAAACAAUAUUUGAGCGAUUUGAGCUAAAUGGGUUUCAGAUCGGUUUAUCAAUCCCUCACGGAACUGUUCCCACAUAUUGAUCCAAAGAUUUUAAGAGUUGUUGCAAUUGAGCACCAA